CAAUAGCGUAUAUUAAAGUUGUUGCGGUUAAAAAGCUCGUAGUUGGAUUCCAGAUAAACUAGCCCGGGAUGUGCUUCCGAGUAUGUCACUGGCGUGGGUUUAUAUCAAACCAGUGCACGUGUUGAUUGCUUGAUUGUGUCGCACAAGUACUGGAUCCUUUACUUUGAGGAAAUUAGAGUGUUUCAAGCAGGUAUAUGCCUUGAAUAUAUUAGCAUGGAAUAAUAAUAUAAGACUGUGGUCUUGUUUUGUUGGUAUUAAAGACCAAAGUAAUGAUUAAUAGGGAUAGACGGGGGCACUCGUAUUUAACUGCUAGAGGUGGAAUUCUUGGAUUUGUUAAAGACGAACUACUGCGAAAGCAUUUGCCAAGGAUGUUUNCAUUGA
rnacentral:rRNA from 1 species